AACGAACGCUGGCGGCGUGCCUAAUACAUGCAAGUCGAGCGCAGGAAACUGACGGAACUCUUCGGAGGGAAGGCAGUGGAAUGAGCGGCGGACGGGUGAGUAACACGUAAGGAACCUGCCUCAAGGAUUGGGAUAACUCCGAGAAAUCGGAGCUAAUACCGGAUAGUUCAACGGACCGCAUGGUCCGCUGAUGAAAGGCGCUUCGGCGUCACCUUGAGAUGGCCUUGCGGUGCAUUAGCUAGUUGGUGGGGUAACGGCCCACCAAGGCGACGAUGCAGAGCCGACCUGAGAGGGUGAUCGGCCACACUGGGACUGAGACACGGCCCAGACUCCUACGGGAGGCAGCAGUAGGGAAUCUUCCACAAUGGACGAAAGUCUGAUGGAGCAACGCCGCGUGAGUGAUGAAGGUUUUCGGAUCGUAAAACUCUGUUGUAAGGGAAGAACACGUACGAGAGGAAAUGCUCGUACCUUGACGGUACCUUACGAGAAAGCCACGGCUAACUACGUGCCAGCCGCCGCGGUAACAC
rnacentral:rRNA from 1 species